ACUCCUCUAGCUCAAUGGUUAGAGCAGAGCGCUCAUAACGCUUUGGUUACAGGUUCGAGUCCUGUGGGGAGUACCA
rnacentral:tRNA from 1 species